UUGCCCGCAGCGCAGCGGUCAGCGCAUCGGGCUGACCCCGAGGGUCGCCGGUUCAAACCCGGCCGGACAACCCA
rnacentral:tRNA from 1 species